rnacentral:lncRNA from 1 species
UUUUUUUUCUUUUUUUUUUUUUUUUUUUUUGAGACGGAGUCUCGCUCUGUCGCCCAGGCUGGAGUGCAGUGGCCGGAUCUCAGCUCACUGCAAGCUCCGCCUCCCGGAUUUAUGCCAUUCUCCUGCCUCAGCCUCCCGAGUAGCUGGGACUACAGGCGCCCGCCACCUCGCCCGGCUAGUUUUUUGUGUUUUUAGUAGAGACGGGGUUUCGCCGUGUUAGCCAGGAUGGUCUCGAUCUCCUGACCUCGUGAUCCGCCCGUCUCGGCCUCCCAAAGUGCUGGGAUUACAGGCUUGCGCCACCGUGCCCGGCCACAAAUGAAUUCUUAAUCCUUAAAAUCAAUAGACAGUCUUCCCUGUGAAGAAACGUUCUGUCAAGUGCUGUAUGUGGCCAGUGCCCAUAAGCCCUGAUGCUGAAGCAUUAGUAAAUCAGCCUCUUCCCACCGGCCUGAAAGCUAAGAUUUAGUUUCCUAAACUAAAGAUUUAGUUAAAGCAGCAGUCAGCUUUAUUUGAAUACAACAGGAAACCACAUAUUUCAGCUCAGAUCUAUCUAAUACCUAGGAAAAUGCUAACCUUUCAGUUUCUCUACCACACACAGCACAUUUUGGGAAGAUACAUAUAGUGUCUUGGUCCUCCCCUGUGGUUCCAAGACCAGCAUCACCAGCAUCACCUGAGAACUUGUUAGAAAUGCAAAUUCUUGGGCCUCACCCCAGACCUACUGUAUCAGAAUCUCUGCGGGUGGUUCGUGGCAAUCUGUUUUAACUUGUUCCUUGGUGAUUCUGAUGCAGGUAAACUCUGAGACCCACUGCAGUAGUGGAUGCAGACAGAAUCCCACCUAAACCCCUUUACCAGAGCACCUACACCCUGGCUGCUGAGGGCUGGCUGCUAACCACCACCGCGGUGCCUCUGGAGCCUUGUCCCAGGCAAAGGGACAGGGACACUACCCUUUUCCCAGGGAAGACCUUGAACAAUGACCCACCAGCCCCUUUGCCUCAACCAGAACUAAUUCUGCCAUACAAUUCAUGUUGCAGGGCUUCCUUGCGGAGGAGAAUGUGGCUAGACUGCAUCAGAGACCACAGUCUUGGUUCUCGCCUUCCCC